GCCUAUGAUGAUACAUCCAUAUUUUUUGAGGUGUAAUGAAUCCAUGUCCCUGAUUACAGGGAGAACCUACUUGGAGGACCUACAUUGCAAAUGAUUUUAAUGGAUCUAGCUGAGGC